rnacentral:rRNA from 1 species
CACGUAGGGGGCAAGCGUCUUCCGGAUUUAUUGGGCGUAAAGAGCUCGUAGGCGGCUCGGUAAGUCGGGUGUGAAACCUCCAGGCUCAACCUGGAGACGCCACUCGAUACUGCCGUGGCUAGAGUCCGGUAGAGGAGCGUAGAAUUCCUGGUGUAGCGGUGAAAUGCGCAGAUAUCAGGAGGAAUACCAGCGGCGAAGGCGGCGCUCUGGGCCGGAACUGACGCUGAGGAGCGAAAGCGUGGGGAGCAAACAGG